rnacentral:RNase_P_RNA from 1 species
CAGGGGGCGCAAGGCAGCCGCGGGCCAUCAGGUCCGAGGAAAGUCCGGGCUCCACGAAACCAGGGUGGCGGGUAACGCCCGCCGCGGGCAACCGCAGGGAAAGUGCCACAGAGAGCAAACCGCCCCGGCCAACGGGGUAAGGGUGAAAGGGUGCGGUAAGAGCGCACCGGGGCCGCGGCAACGCGGUCCGCCAAGGCAAACCCCACCCGGAGCAAGGCCGAAUAGGGGCGGCGCGUCGGUACGAGCCGGCAGGGGUGUUUCGCCCCUAGCGCAAGCUGCGACCGCCCGGGUUGGCUGCUCGAGCCGCGGAGCGAUCUGCGGUCCAGAUGAAUGGCUGCCCUCGCGCGGCCGGUCCGGCAACGGAUACCGCGUGCGAGACAGAACCCGGCUUACCGCGUCCCCUGGCAC